rnacentral:tRNA from 1 species
GGGCCCGUAGCUCAGCCUGGAUAGAGCGGCGGAGGACCGCCGGUCCGCCGAGCCUUCUAAGCCGUAGGUCGUGGGUUCGAAUCCCAUCGGGCCCGCCA